AUGUGACACAACCAUGGUGAUGAAAAGAAAUCAGCUGUGGUUGGUGGUGAUAGCAAAGUGUAAGCUUUCAUUGAUACAGAGGCUUACUCAUUUCUGCCUUUGGUUAUUGUGCUGCUUCUGCUUGCUGUAGCCUUCCUGUUUCAAUGAUGAGAAGGCCAAAGGAAUCUGUGAGCUGACCCAGAGCCCGCAUGUUGUUGACAAGCCACAGAGUUGCCCAACCUCUUUUAUUGUUAUUUUGAUUCAGGGAAUUCCUGAAGAUUCUGAAAUUGUGAACUGACAAGCCCAUGGAUGUCUACAAAGAGUGAACUGAUCACUGUGGGCUGGCCUUUGAGGCAUCAGUGAGCUCCAGUGCCUGGGACAAUGCCUGACACUUAGCAGACAGUCAGUGAAUGUGUUAUAUAAAUGAAUGAAUACUUGGAGCGUGAGAAUCAGAGCGGCAAAAAUAUUUGUCCAUAAUAUGCCUAAAGAUAAAAACGGAAGCCUCAGAACUAGAUAAGUGCAUUGUAAUUGAAUGCUGAAUUCACAGAGAUAACAUCUGAGAUUUAUUAAGCAUCAAGUCAUGUCUUAAAAAUUUUAUAUACAUUUUAGGAUUUAACUCUUAUAAAAAUCCUGUGGGUAAGUACUGUUGUCUCUCCCACUUUACAGGUAGAGAGGCUGAGGUUCAGAGAGAUUAGGUAACUCAACUAAGGUCAAAAAGUUGGUCAGGGAGCUGGGCCUUUAUAUAAAACACCAAAAUGAGCCCUUGUGUAGAACCCUUGAGAGAGAUUUUAAUCUAAUGGCUGCAAUUUUAAAUUGUGUUCAGUUGUGGUAUGUAGUUUUUCAAGGAAGAUGACCCACAGCCUUUCUUGCUUUCUGGCUUUGGAAAAGGUAGAGAUGACCACUUAAACAUUCAAGGAAAAUAAUCCCUGACUUUGAAAUCAGAAGAUCAUUCAGAUAAUAUACUUACUUAUAAUCAUCCUCUCUAAUGUCUGACUAAAGCAAGAGUAAAAGAUUGACUGAACAGCAACAAAUACUUUAACAGUUAAAAAUAAA
rnacentral:lncRNA from 10 species